UUUCCUUAUUGAAGUACAUGAUGUGGUCGUCUAUGGUGAUAUUUCUUUGUUUAAUGAGUGUUGUGUUGUGUCAUGAAAAAAGUUAUAUAAAUUUUGGUGGAUUCAUUUGUCCCCGUGAAGAAAAGGCUCUCGGAAAAUGUCUUAAGGACGCUUUAAAUACUUACAUUCCACAACUUGCCGCAGGUAUACCUAAAUUAGAUAUACCAUCAUGUGAACCACUCCUAAUUCGGUCCCUCUCGGUAAAGCAGACGACUGGACCUAUAUCUGUAACCUCGUCCUUCUCAGAUGUAUAUGUAAGAGGGCCUUCCACUAUGCGAGUAAAAAGUAUUGACAUCCAUGCCAAGGAUCAUGAGAUAGUUGCCAGACUAUAUAUUCCAGAGUUAAGGAUGAAAGGACUAUACAAAUUGAAAGGAUCCCUUCUGAUGAUACCAGUGGAAGCAAAUGGGGACUUCACAUCAAAAUAUCGUAAGCAUAUUGUCAUGAUUUAAUAACUUCGAAGAUAUAAAUAACGAAAUAAGAAACAGAUAAAUAAACAAAAGACUUUGUAUUGCCUCCGAUUAGGAGUGCCCAUAUGUACUCCUUAUAAGUGUUGCUAUGGCUUUGAAGUAUGUAGCCUUGGACACCAUUGGCCUCCUCUGCCAAUCGAGUGCAGAUCGUUUUUCUCACGCAGUUCCCUUGCGAUUUUGGAAACAACAGGCAUCGCUAGAGACGAUGGCAAGCUGCCAUUGUUGAUCCCUUGGGAGAUGGGACGGCCUUUGGGAUUCUACUUGAAUGGACACGUUUACGCCGUCCUACCUCCCUCGUACAAGCACAAAAGCUGGCGCAGCUGGAGAGCAGGCGGAAAUAAUAAACAGCUCAAAUAUCUUCUUCAAAUCGAAGUUGGGGGAAUCGUUCCCCAACUUCGAUUUGGUUCCCUUUGGAGUCUUCUUGGGCAGUGGGGUUCAAGUGCACAGGCGCUAAUUAUAGAUUUAAGUUGACGCCUGGUAGAUAGUAUCGGUGUCCCCAGAGGUGAUGCAUUACUCGCUCAACGAAUAAGUAUAGCAAUACAGCGA